rnacentral:rRNA from 1 species
AUGCCUGUUGCAAAGUCGAAGCAGAGGAGCACCCUCUUCGUCUUCGUCUACUUGGCCUCUUCGGCGGCGCUCGCGGUGCUGCUCUCCGCGUCCUGGCAAUGGGCAUCCGCCCGGCCCGCCCGCAUGCGCCUGUUCAUGCACGACGUGCUCACCGGCCCGGGCGCCACGGCGGUCGAGGUCGUGAACGGCACGGGGCCGUCGCUGUUCGGGGGCGAGCCGCCGCUGCUGUUCGGGCACGUGGUGGUGAUCGACGACGCGCUCACGGAGGGGCCGGACCCGGCGUCGAGGCCCGUGGGGCGCGCGCAGGGGAUGUACGUCUUCGCGUCCAUGCACGACCCGGCGUUGCUCUUGUGCAUGAAUGUUGUGCUCACGGCGGGGCCGUACUCCGGGAGCACCUUCACCGUCGUCGGCCGCGACAACAUCGUCGAGCCACUGCGGGAGCUGUCGGUGGUGGGCGGCACGGGGAGGUUCCGGAUGGCGACGGGGUACGUGCUCUGGAGAACGGCGAGCUGGCAGCUACGUAAGAACGCCGUCCUCGACCUGGACAUCUUUAUCCACGUCCACGCCUACGCCCGUGCAUGA